UGUAAUGUCGGUUAGUCCGGCACGAGCGCAACCCUGUCCUUAGUUACCAUCAUUAAGUUGGGGACUCUAGGGAGACUGCCGGUGUUAAACCGGAGGAAGGCGGGGAUGACGUCAAGUCCUCAUGGCUCUUACGGGAAGGGCUACACACGUACUACAAUGGUAGAAACAAAGGGCUGCGAAACCGCGAGGUCAAGCUAAUCCCUAAAACACUAUCUCAGUCCGGAUUGGAGUCUGCAACUCGACUCCAUGAAGUUGGAAUCGCUAGUAAUCGGAGAUCAGCACGCUCCGGUGAAUACGUUCCCGGGCCUUGUACACACCGCCCGUCACACCACGAAAGUGGUCUCAACCAGAAGUAGGUGAACUGACCUCGGAGGCAGCCUACCACGGUUGGGGCCGUGAUUGGGGUGAAGUCGUAACAAGGUAACCGUAGGGGAACCUGCGGUUGGAUCACCUCCUU
rnacentral:rRNA from 1 species